AUGUGGACCAGAUGGAACAGUUUUGAGGAUUGUGCUUUGCUGGCUUUGGGGAGACACCGUGUCCCUUGUGAGCCUGAGGGUUGCAUAUUUGCAGUGAGAGCUGGCGAGAACAGACACCUGGCAUGAAACAACUCAACACAGCAGCUCAGCACAGGUGGAAUCCCCAUCCCUGCUUCCUCCUGGAGACCGGCUCUUCUUCCUUCUCUUCCCUGUGGGGCUGGAAGGAUCUAUGAGCCCCAGACCCGGGAUCUGCGUCCCCGGGACACCUCUAGGUCUUCUCUAGGAAGGUGCAUCCUGGCUACACACCAUUCUGGAAGCAAAGAAAGCUGACUCAAGAACAGGAGCCCCUUUAACACAAC